GUUCUCUGUAGCCGUGAGUCUUGUGUUUUGUUUGUUCAUUUGUUUUGUUUUUUAGAUUCCACAUAUAAGUGAAACAGUAUUUGCUUUUUCCCAUCUGACUUAUUUCACUUGGCAUAAUACACUCAAGGUCCAUCCAUGUUGUCCCAAAUGGCAAAGUAUCAUCUUUCUUAUGGCCCUUUCUGAACUCUUGGACUGCAAGGAGAUCAAACCAGUCGAUCCUAAAGGAAAUCAGUCCUAAAUAUUCAUUGGAAGGACUGAUGUUGAAGCUAAAACUCCAAUACUUUGGCCACCUGAUGUGAAGAACUGACUCAUUGGAAAAGACCCUGAUGGUGGGAAAGACUGAAGACGGGAGAGGGGGACGACAGAGGAUGAGAUGGUUGGAUGGCAUCACCAUCUAUGGACAUAAGUUUGAGUAAGCUCUGGGACUUGGUGAUGGACAGAGAAGCCUGGUGUGCUGCAGUCCAUGAGGUCGCAAAGAGUCAGACAUGACUGAGCGACUGAACUGAACUGAGCCCUUUCUGGAGUGGGAUCCAGGAGCUGGGCACCCCACAGACCUCCCUGUUGCUGUUCUUGUUCUCCUCUUUUCAGAGCAUCACUUGUUUGGGGACCUCCCUGCUUGGAUCCCUGCAUGGUGCCUGUCACCACUCCCUCCAGAUGUCACAUGCCAUCUGCCUGGAUGAACUUUCUCUUUAUCUGCUGUCAUGUCGAUCCCCAAGCACAGGUCUCCAGCCUCUUUGUUUGCAAUGUCCUGCAGCCAAACUCCAGUUCUGGUGGCCCCUGUCCUUAGGCCAAGCACCUGGUGGCAGAGAAUGAGUAAUGGGACUUUGACAAAGGACAGGGCAUGUCAUCCCCAGCCCUCGCUACUAAAAGCCUUUGCUGAUUGCUCAUAGGUGUUGGUGCUAUACCUAGUGCUGUUGGAAGCUGCCUGGUCAAGACUCAGCUCCCACUGUUGGUCUCCUCAUUCUGCUUUUUGCUUCACAUGCACUAAUGUGGUUUUCUUUUCAGCCUGGUCUCAUUUCUUUCAGACUAGAAGAAAUUAGAGACAGAAAAAGCCUUUAAAAGAUAAAAUAUCUGACCUGCUGCGGUACUCGGUAGCCACUGCCUUUCAGGGAGAAAGCCUGACGUGGCUGAGGAACCUGAUAAGGUUUUCUCUGUGAGACACUUCACGUUGCAAAGCUAAUUAACCAGAUUUCUGAUUAGCUAAUUGCCUGUACCCAGGAAGGGCCCAUCAGAUUUUUUCUCUGUAUUGAUCAGAAGAGGAGAGUGAAGUUAGGAGGCAAAUAAAGAUCUAAAGAUCUUAGAAGACUGGCAGCCACAAAGGCUCAGCUGAGAGAAUCAGUGAGCCUGGGAUAGGAUAUUUCUCAGAACCCAGACUCACAGCACUUGCUGCUUGAAGUCCAUGGGGAGCCCUGCCUCCUUCAGGAUCAAGAACUGUGGCCAAGCAGUCUGUCCACCCCUACUGUGUGCAGCAUGGAUGGAGUCUUAGAGGACAAGAGCUCAGUGUUUCAGGAGACGCCCCUCGGGCAGAAACGGGGCAACCUUUCCCAUUCUCUCCUUUAAAAACUCCCCCUUAGGGGAGGAUGGGGCUUCCCUGGUGGCUCAGAUGGUAAAGUAUCUGUCUGCAGUGCGGGAGACCCAGGUUCAAUCCCUGGAUCAGAAAGAUCCCCUGGAGAAGGGAACAGCAACCCACUCCAGUAUCCUUGCCUGGAGAAUUCCAUGGACAGAGGAGCCUGGCGGGCUACAGUCCACAGGGUCACAAAAGAGUCAGAUACGACUGAGUGACUAACACUUUAGGAAGGGAUACUUAGAGAGUCUGGGAUGGUCAUGUACACACUGUGAUAUUU
ensembl:lncRNA